AUCCACCUCAAGAGUCCUAAAUAGAACGAAGCGCGCGUCCUACAU
rfam:Schistosoma margrebowiei strain Zambia genome assembly, scaffold: SMRZ_contig0012268